UUAGACGCAGGAAGAUAGGNGCAAUAACAVGUCUGUGAUGCCCUUAGAUGUCCUGGGCCGCACGCGCGUUACACUGAUGCACUCAACGAGUCUACCUUGGCCGAGAGGCCUGGGAAAUCUUGUUAACAUGCAUCGUGAUAGGGAUAGAUUAUUGCAAUUAUUAAUCUUGAACGAGGAAUUCCUAGUAAACGCAGAUCAUCAAUCUGCAUUGAUUACGUCCCUGCCCUUUGUACACACCGCCCGUCGCACCUACCGAUUGAAUGGUCCGGUGAAGCCUCGGGAUUGCGAUGAGUUUCCUUCAUUGGGAGUUCGUCGCGAGAACCUGUCUAAACCUUAUCAUUUAGAGGAAGGUGAAGUCGUAACAAGGUUUCC
rnacentral:rRNA from 1 species